rnacentral:tRNA from 1 species
GCGGAAUUGAUGGAAUUGGCAGACAUGCAAGAUUUAGGUUCUUGUGGGCAACCGUGUGGGUUCGAGUCCCACAUUCCGCA